UAAGCAUAUCAAUAAGCGGAGGAAAAGAAACCAACAGGGAUUGCCCUAGUAACGGCGAGUGAAGCGGCAACAGCUCAAAUUUGAAAUCUGGCGUCUUUGGCGUCCGAGUUGUAAUUUGCAGAGGGCGCUUUGGCAUUGGCAGCGGUCCAAGUUCCUUGGAACAGGACGUCACAGAGGGUGAGAAUCCCGUACGUGGUCGCUAGCCUUUACCGUGUAAAGCCCCUUCGACGAGUCGAGUUGUUUGGGAAUGCAGCUCUAAAUGGGAGGUAAAUUUCUUCUAAAGCUAAAUACUGGCCAGAGACCGAUAGCGCACAAGUAGAGUGAUCGAAAGAUGAAAAGCACUUUGGAAAGAGAGUUAAAAAGCACGUGAAAUUGUUGAAAGGGAAGCGCUUGCAGCCAGACUUGCCUGUAGUUGCUCAUCCGGGUUUUUACCCGGUGCACUCUUCUACGGGCAGGCCAGCAUCAGUUUGGGCGGUUGGAUAAAGGUCUCUGUCAUGUACCUCCUCUCGGGGAGAUCUUAUAGGGGAGACGACAUGCAACCAGCCUGGACUGAGGUCCGCGCAUCUGCUAGGAUGCUGGCGUAAUGGCUGUAAGCGGCCCGUC
rnacentral:rRNA from 1 species